rnacentral:rRNA from 1 species
CGUGUAGGCGGUCCGGUAAGUCGGCUGUGAAAGUCCAGGGCUCAACCCUGGGAUGCCGGUCGAUACUGCCGGACUAGAGUUCGGAAGAGGCGAGUGGAAUUCCCGGUGUAGCGGUGAAAUGCGCAGAUAUCGGGAGGAACACCUAUGGCGAAGGCAGCUCGCUGGGACGUUACUGACGCUGAGACGCGAAAGCGGUGGGGAGACAAACA